CGUGUUCGGUAUUUAAAAUGAGUGGCAGCGUCGAAGACGACGAGAAAUAUUUUAAAGAAUACGAAAAACAACUCAAGAAAGGGAAAUAUAUUAAAUGUUUAUAAUGUUUGGAGGAAUUAUUGAAUAAUUUGCCUUCAAAAGGCGCAUCGGGCAGAUUUAGAAAGUUAAAUUUAUUAAUAAAACAAAUUUAAUUUUUAUUCAAUGGUCAGUUCGGCAUAAUAUUUUAUUAUGUAAAUUAUUAUUGAAAACAGAAGUUAACACCAAUAGCAAAUAAUCAAACUGAAGAGAAAGAUGAUCUGGUUCUAUUAGAACAACUUUAACAUCUUUGUUUUCAAGUGAGAGGUGUUCCUGUAACAAAAGAAUCUAUAAUUUUGGAAAUAAUAAUAAUAAUAAUACACAAUUGGUUAAAUUUCUUACUAUUGAAAGGUGAAAGUAAAAUAAAGACUUUUUGUAAAAAUGAAGUAUGGCAGCAAAUAACACUAACUUUACAGCAGUCAUAUGUUAUAAAACCAACUUCAGAUUCAGUUGAUGUUACUACUGCUCUGUAUCUGUAAUCUUUAUGUACAAUUUAGUCUCUACUGACACCACAAUGAGAUCUAGAAGGAAUUGGGCAUCAUUUAAAUGAGUUGAAAGACCUUAAGAAAAUAGCAUUGUUAUUUUUCUGCACCAUUGCUUGGUUCCUUAUACAACAUUCAGAUGUUAAAAAUGCUUUGUUGUUAUUGAAAUCUGUAACCUCAUUAUUAAAAAAAUUGUGUCUGAGGACG